AGGUUAGUUUCUUAAUUGGUAAAGAACUUUCUUGUAUAGAAAGCUUAUGUCGGUUCAACUCCGACCUGGCCUG
rnacentral:tRNA from 1 species